UAUAAGUCAUUAUAAUCUGGCUACACUCAAAGAUCAGAACUGCAGGGCCUUAAAAUGGUAAUAGAUGCAGAUAUUGCUGCCAAUGGCUUAAAAAAUGUCUCUCCUCACUCAAGGUCUAUUCAUGCUUAAGAAUGUAUGCCUCCUUGUCCUUACUAACUUCAUUAAGCUGUAACUAAUUGGAAAACUGUAUAUCCAUAUUUAACUUAUAUAUGCUGUCAAAGUCAAUUUAGAUAUAACUAACAUAUUUUGUUCCCCUGGUUCUCAAACACCUUUAGAGAUUGGAGAAUAUGGCCUUUAAUAUAAAAGCUUUUUAUGAUGGAGAGACAGGUCAGCUCCUGGCAGCAUCCUGUAUCUUCUCCAAGAAGAUGGAUGGCUGCAGAAGAACUUCCACCUGGAAGCUUAUGGCAAGGUCAGCCAGGAAGUGCAAAGCUGCCUUGGACUGCUGCUGAGAUCCUGUCCAGACUGUGAAUAGCUGGAGCAAUGGGGGAUUGAUUGUGCCAUGUUGCUAAGUCAAGUUCACUCCUCCUGCCAGACUCGUGCUAAGGCCAAUCCACAGGGGUCAUCCAGAUACACCAGCCCCUGCACCAGCUCCGAGGAUGCUAACCACCAACAGAGGAUGCCACCCAGGCAAAUACUGGCAGGUUGAUUUCACCCACAUCCCUGCUCAUAAAAAGACUGCAUCUCCUAACUCUUACUGACACCUUUACAGGAUAGAUGCACUCCCACCUCCAGAGAAAUAGCAGAUGUGAUGGCUCCUGCACUCCUAAAGAACACAUCAUCCCUCAAUUCACUGCUGGUAUCAGCUCUCCAGGCUCAAAAACCUGCCUUCUCAGCUCCCUCAAGGAACAGACGCCUGAGGACUCCAUGAUGACAACCACCUGAAUGCUUCUUCACUCACACCUCCUACCAUGUGUGACUCCGACUCCCAACUUCCUCCUUCCACUUCGACCCUUGUCAGUAGGAGGCAGUCUAAAGAAUUCAGUGCCCUCAUUCUUCCACUUGCUACCCAUAACUUGCCUUUUUUUUUUUUAUAAUAAUCAAAAUGGAGGAAUGAUAGCAUUCUGAACCACCCGUUGGGGCUGCCCAGCAUCCUGAUGUCAUUUUACCUAAAAGCCUCCUUUAAGGAAAAACCCUCCCUUCUUCUUCCUCUUUUCCUUCCUCCCUUUC